UACAGAGGGUGCAAGCGUUAAUCGGAAUUACUGGGCGUAAAGCGUGCGUAGACGGUUACGUAAGUCAGAUGUGAAAGCCCCGGGCUCAACCUGGGAAUUGCAUUUGAGACUGCGUAGCUAGGGUGCGGAAGAGGGAAGCGGAAUUUCCGGUGUAGCGGUGAAAUGCGUAGAUAUCAGGAGGAACACCAAUUGCGAAGGCAGCUCGCUGGGACGUUACUGACGCUGAGACGCGAAAGCGUGGGGAGCAAACAGG
rnacentral:rRNA from 1 species